rnacentral:tRNA from 1 species
GCAAAUAUAGGUUAACAAAAACAUUAGAUUGUGAAUCUGAACAUAGAAGUUCACAUCUUCUUAUAUGCU